rnacentral:rRNA from 1 species
GUAGGGAAUAUUGGGCAAUGGUCGGAAGACUGACCCAGCCAUGCCGCGUGCAGGAAGACGGCCCUCUGGGUUGUAAACUGCUUUUAUCUGGGAAGAAAAAGGCCAUGCGUGGCAAAUUGCCGGUACCAGAUGAAUAAGCACCGGCUAACUCCGUGCCAGCAGCCGCGGUAAUACGGAGGGUGCGAGCGUUGUCCGGAUUUAUUGGGUUUAAAGGGUGCGUAGGCGGCUGAUUAAGUCAGCGGUGAAAGACUUCGGCUUAACCGGGGCAGUGCCGUUGAUACUGGUUGGCUUGAGUGUCGGAGGGGUACAUGGAAUUGAUGGUGUAGCGGUGAAAUGCAUAGAUACCAUCAGGAACACCGAUAGCGAAGGCAUUGUACUGGCCGACAACUGACGCUGAUGCACGAAAGUGUGGGGAUCGAACAGGAUUAGAAACCCGAGUAGUCC